UCCUGUGACGCGAGUGGCGGACGGGUGAGUAACACGUAGGCAACCUGCCCAUCAGACUGGGAUAACCACGGGAAACCGUGGCUAAUACCGGAUAACCCUUUUCCACACAGGUGGGAAAGUUGAAAGGCGGCUUCGGCUGUCACUGAUGGAUGGGCCUGCGGCGCAUUAGCUUGUUGGUGGGGUAACGGCCCACCAAGGCGACGAUGCGUAGCCGACCUGAGAGGGUGAUCGGCCACACUGGGACUGAGACACGGCCCAGACUCCUACGGGAGGCAGCAGUAGGGAAUCUUCCGCAAUGGACGAAAGUCUGACGGAGCAACGCCGCGUGAGUGAAGAAGGGUUUCGGCUCGUAAAACUCUGUUGUCAGGGAAGAACGCCGACGGGAGUAACUGCCCGUCGGGUGACGGUACCUGACCAGAAAGCCACGGCUAACUACGUGCCAGCAGCCGCGGUAAUACGUAGGUGGCAAGCGUUAUCCGGAAUUAUUGGGCGUAAAGCGCGCGUAGGCGGUUCGUUAAGUCUGAUGUGAAAGCCCCCGGCUCAACCGGGGAGGGUCAUUGGAAACUGGCGGACUUGAGUGCAGAAGAGGAGAGUGGAAU
rnacentral:rRNA from 1 species